AUCACAUGUUUGAAGAGCUGGCGUUUUCCAGUAAUGCUGCCACAGAGAGGAGGAUGCAAGAAAAAUGCAGAUAAGUUUUGAACAAAUUGUUUUUUUCCUUUACAGUGUAUUUCAUUAAAUUAAAGAAGGGUGCAAGGCUGCAGUGGUUGGCCGCUGGGGCACAUGAAUGCACUGUGGUUUGGAUGUUUUCAUGUGUUGUUUGUGUCCAACAGUCAUUUGUUGUUUGCGGUAUCAGGGGCUGGGUUCUUUUCGAGGGAAAUCCCCGUUUCUAUUGAAAAGUAGCAGCAAUCGUCAUUAUUUGUUUGUUGCCGUUUUGUUGGGACGUUGUGUUUUGGAUAUUGGGUGACAGUUUUACAUGUCUCAUGUCAAAGAUUUGACACGUCGCAAAAUUCUAAUAAUUUAGGAUGAAAGCUCAAAGUUUACACUGCUUAUACAGUCAAAACUAAACGACUAUCCUCAACGAAUAAAUAAAAUAUCUUUGAACAUUUCAAGACCGAAGGCCUCAAUACGUGCAUAUUUUACAACAGCAUUAUCAACAACAUUUUAUUUGUUUCACUACUGCCUUAGAUAUACACUCUAUUACAAAUGAAAUGCAAAAAUUAAAAAAAAACGAUUGAAAA